UUUUUUUUUUUUUUUUUUUUUUUUUUUUUAAGUGAGCACUUCU
rnacentral:ribozyme from 1 species